CAGCUCUGGGGGCCGUUGUUCGGUGCUGGGGCUGACAGAGGAGGCUCGGUGUCUACAGCUAGCAAGUCAACGUUUCUCCUCUUGUCCCUGGUGAGGUGUAGCGGCGGCACACGGCUG
rnacentral:pre_miRNA from 1 species